rnacentral:rRNA from 1 species
UACGUAGGGGGCAAGCGUUGUCCGGAAUCAUUGGGCGUAAAGCGCGCGUAGGCGGCCCGGUAAGUCCGCUGUAAAAGUCCAGGGCUCAACCCUGGAAGGCCGGUGGAUACUGUCGGGCUAGAGUCCGGAAGAGGCGAGUGGAAUUCCUGGUGUAGCGGUGGAAUGCGCAGAUAUCAGGAGGAACACCGAUAGCGAAGGCAGCUCGCUGGGACGGUACUGACGCUGAGGCGCGAAAGCGUGGGGAGCGAACAGG